GGAGAGAUGGCUGAGCUGGUCUAAGGCGCACGACUGGAAAUCGUGUGAACGUGAAGAGCGUUCCGAGGGUUCGAAUCCCUCUCUCUCCGCCA
rnacentral:tRNA from 1 species